rnacentral:rRNA from 1 species
UAAUACGGAGGGGGCUAGCGUUGUUCGGAAUUACUGGGCGUAAAGCGCACGUAGGCGGACCAGCAAGUUAGGGGUGAAAUCCCGGGGCUCAACCCCGGAACUGCCCUUAAGACUGUUGAUCUGGAGUUCGAGAGAGGUGAGUGGAAUUCCGAGUGUAGAGGUGAAAUUCGUAGAUAUUCGGAGGAACACCAGUGGCGAAGGCGGCUCACUGGCUCGAUACUGACGCUGAGGUGCGAAAGCGUGGGGAGCAAACAGG